rnacentral:sRNA from 1 species
UCUGCCGUCAAGACUCUACUGGUGUUCCGGCGUUGACUUCCCUAGUGUCAACAGCUGUCAAUGCGUGUGUUACAGUUCAUGGGACAACUUUUGAACUACUCCGUAUUGGUAAAGCAAAAAACUUGGUCUAUCGAUAUACAACCGAACAUCUACUUACUGCAUUCUUUCUCGCUUUGCUGAUGCUCCUAGGAGCGUGGCCACACCGUUGAUAUAGGGCCUAGGUGACAACUUAUCGUUUGGUAGUGAGAACGAUGACAUCCUCUGGAAGUUUCCAGAAAACAAUGAGAAAACAGGGAAAUUAUAAACUGCAAUCAUCUUCUGUCGUCCUUUUCGGGAAGAGCUCUUUAGAUUCAAAUGUUGAAGCUACUACCACAAGAUCCACACACAAAGCUCAGGCUCCCGCUUUACGUGGAGCGUUUUGAAACGAUCAGUGAAGGGUAAAAAAAUAAAAUAAAAAUAAAAAUAAAAAGGAAAACCUAAUUCGACGUUCCUGAAGUUCACAUGUACUGUGCUAUGCAUGGUUCAUUCAGGUCCAGUACAAGCUUGCGGACAUUGCAAACGGAAUAUAUCCGCAUCUUCAUCAAAUUCAACCGCGGAUAUUCUGAGAAUAUUCUCAGCGACAGUCCAUUGAGGAGUGUUUCACAAUCCUGGAACAAUAAACGAGGG